GCACUAACAGUGGUGUCCUGACCCUCGGCAUGGUUGUGCGUUGUGCGUCGCUUAGCCUGGACCAAUAAUUUCUGAGUCUUUUCGUAACAUUCUGGCUGUAUAGAAAUGAGCUCGAACUCAAGAUCCAAAACCCGAGGUGAAUCAUCCGAAUCAUCAUCUCACCCUCCCUCAUGCCCAGCCCCGGUUUCGUUUCUGGACCGUGUGCCUAAACACAGUGCGUCCCCGACAGGAGGCAGUCGUGUGUUCAGGGGGAGCGUGCGGCACAGUUAGGCAAAACCCGCCUUGCUGUGCGUGGAAAUAUAACAACGAUGGAACAGUAAGAGGGAUGGCGCGGCGACUGGCGGGCCAUGUGGAGAUGUAGAGAUCCUGGUGAACGAGGAAUGUGGGAAGAAUUACCGCGACGUAAAAGGAGGAGGUCGAAAAGGACGAAGACGAAUAAGGAGUGACAAGAAUCCGAAGGGAGGAAGAAUGAGGAGGAAGGGGAAUAAAAAGAAGAGCUGAAGCAGCAGGACGACGCCUUGAAACACGGCGGUUUUCACAUUCACAUCAGCCAAAACCUCAUUCCUUACCCUGUCUCCUCCUUCCUGCACUCACUAUCAACCUCCUCUCCUCCUCCUCCUCCUCCUGCUCCUCCUGCUCUUCCUGGCUCUCCUUUUUCCUAAUAAUUCCAUACCAUUGUGCUCCUCCUCCUGCGUCUUGUCCUCCCUCUUUCCCCUUCUCCUGCAUAAUGGUUUGGUCGCCAUACGUGUUGCAAAGAUAUUCAAAAGCUAAAAAGAGAACACCUUAGAAGAACCUAAAUUAUUCCUUUACUAAGAGAUAUUCCCUAUGAAGAAAGGCUAAAUGAAGUGAAUUUAACUUGCUUUUCUAGUCGAAGAUUGCGAGAUUAUCCAACAAAAGAGUUUGAAAUAUUCGAAGAUUUGAUAACAUGAAUGCAGACGACUACAUUACAGUUGAUCGACCACAUAUGGUAAGACAAUAAUUGGUAAAAUUAUUCACGCCAAAUGAAGCCAAACACUACAGUUGAGUUGUCGACUUUUGAAACUACUUGCCAGUGUCGUCGAGGUGCCGCUAUUUGGCACAUCUUUUUAAAUUACUCAUCACUGAGACAUCUCUUCUUGUUCCACAGCCACUUCCGAACAUUGUACUCCUUAGACAUUGUACCCUUUUCUUAUUCCUUUCUUUCUCGUAGUUGCUUUUAAGGAUUUCAUACAUUAUUUCUAGCCUUAAGCAUUGUUGCACUUCGCGGUGAAAGGGUUAAAAAAUUGAAGAAGGAUCUCGACUCCAACCCAUGGCUAAAAUACCACCCGCAGUCGUAGCAAAAUGCACUUACAUUCUCUCGGGCUCACCUGAGAGAUGUUGCCUUCCUGAGGUGGUUUGUGGCUGUGUCGCACCGGAUCGAAGUACCAAUAGUGAACGUCCUUAUCUCUCGCUUAUAAAAUCGUCUAUGCAGUUACUCAGUUUCUGCACGCUGCCGACACUGGAGGGAGCGAUGGGUGAGGAGGAACCUUUGUAUAUAACAUCCUUUUCUCACUGUGUAUAAGAUAGUAUAGACCGCAAAACAACUGCAUAAGGACCAACGUGUUUGUUGCCGCUUGUUCUUCCUUUUCGUUCUUAAGUGUUCUUAUCUUUUCGUUAAUUUAAUUUUUUGUGCGCUUCUUUCUUCUUCCUGCUCGUUUUAUUCCUCCUCCUCCUUUUAUUCCUCCUCAUCCUCUUCCUCCUUCAUUUCUUCCUCCUCCUCCCUGCUGUUACCUGUUUCUCUUGGUUUUCCUUCUCCGUCUACCUCUGUUUCUUCUUCCCGCCCUUCUCUUCUUGUUUCUCUUCCCUCUUCUUGCUAAACAUAUUUGCCUUGUUCUUCAUUAUGCUUCUGAUCCGUCCUCCUCCUCCUCCUCCUCCUCCUCCUCGUCCGUCCGCUAAACCUAAAAAUGCAGUAAAAACUCUCAGCGGGACAAGGAGAUAAGGCCUACGACGAUAAGAAAAAUGCCACUAAGAACAACGAUAAGUCAUGGCGCGUUAGGAAGGAAGGGUGGACGUUGAUUUUUGUCCCUCCUCCUCCUCCUCCUCCUCUUACUGCCUCUCGUUUUCUUACCCUUUGCAUUUCCCCCCUCUUUAUCUCCCCCUUCCCCACUCCUUCAUUUCCUUUACCCUUCCCUCCCUUACCCCUGUUUCUCCCUCCUUGCCUUCCUCUCCUGUAUCUCAUCCCUCCCCUCCCUUCUUUUGGACUGUCCCUGCAAGAUUUACAUAAUGCUUACUUCUUCACGGAGCAAGACCCCCAUACAGUGACCUCCGCGUAGUACUUCCCUUUGCCGUGUUCGCCUUAACGGGGCCUUCUUUACGGCGGAGGUUCCCGUGUUUGCUUGUUUGUAUCUCUCUCUCUCUCUCUCUCUCUCUCUCUCUCUCUCUCUCUCUCUCUCUCUCUCUCUCUCUCUCUCUCUCUCUCUCUCUCUCUCUCUCUCUCUCUCUCUCUCUCUCUCUCUCUCUCUCUCUCUCUCUCUCUCUCUCUCUCUCUCUCAAAACCAUAAAUAGUGAUCCUCGUGGCCGUGUGUCAAUCCUCUUUGCCUUUUCUUUACUCCUGUCUACUUGUUUGUCUUCACGAUGUCGAAUGAUGCAUGGCUGGGUUCAUUUGUGUGGGGGAUCUCUCCGCUAGAUGGCAGUGUACGGGUCUGCUUCUCUUACCUAGUAGUGUGUGGUUAACUCGAGUGCCAGGUCAUGUGUGGCUAGGAUCUAAGUAUCUGUGUGUGCCUCUUGUUGCUUCUUGUUUUGUCUCCUUGUGAUGAGAUGGAAGACAAGGCGUAGUUAGGAGUGAAGUUAAAGAAUGAUUAGUUAGUGUUAUUUAAUGUUGUGUGUGUUAUUCAGUUUGUUUAUGUUUUCUCUGAUUCUUUGACUUCUUUUAUUCUUUGUUACCGCUGUUGUCUUUUGUUUCUUUGCGUUCUUUUCCUCCGUUUCCUUAUC